rnacentral:lncRNA from 1 species
AAACCCGAACUCGGUUCUCCACGAUACCAUUUCUUUAAGCUGAAUAAUACUAAAUAAUAAUACAUUCGAACUUAAUUUACAUACAUCAAAUUUUACUUCCCCAGGUACGUGACCUUCAAAUACAUUCUUUACAAUACCUGACAAUAGAUUCCAUUGUCUUACUAACUAUAACCAUUAACUCAUACUAAAUCUCAUUCGAACAGCUUUUCUUUUCCCUUAUUCGUGCCUGAGCCUUCAGGUCGAUCGUACGUAACUGAAAACAUUUAGUUCAAGCAAGGAUGAGCAUUUGAGUGCCCAGCAAGUAAUAGCAAUUAUAUAUAUAAGCUGAUAGAAUAUAAGUAUUCUCUUUACAUAACACUUCUACAACGAAUCGAAAGUUGUGAAGUAAUCUGUACUGAUAAAAAAUUCACAUAACAACUCUCUUUCAAUUUCAUGAAACUAGGCUCCACCCAUGAAUAGGGUUUAAGAAACAUACUAUGAACAUUCUUUUCUUUUUCAAAAAGGUUUAGCAAAAAUCCAUCCGCAAACCGUCAUAACUUACGGGCACGGAGGGUGAUCAGCCCCGUUGUACCCUGUAUUGAUCAAUACUACAUAACUUGAACGAAAUUCAUCGCUCACUCUAUCCGCCUUGGGCGCAAAAAUCUUCCCAUAUAGGGAUGUUCAUACAUGCCUGGUUCCAAACCCGAAGGUUUUUAAUCUUGCUCAACAAUAAUAUGUAAUUCAACAUAUAUGUAUACGGGUAAUUGACAAAGGUAUAUCAACAUGUGAAUAAAUGCCAUGAUUAUCCAAGUGGGGACACUUGUAUAACCAUUUAGAAAUCAACUUAACAGAAUAUAUAUCUGAGCUAACAUGUUGAUAAUCAAAGCGUACAUAAUCUGUACAGGAAUAGAAUAAUUCUGAAACUUCUUACUCAUGUCCAUUGCAUAAAGGAAAUGCAAAGGUAAGAUACUUGCCUGAUUCGCUGAUUACAAAUCUCAACUUAGGUUUUAUCUCUUUAUCACAACCUAUCAAUAAUCAGAUCAUUCGUUCGAUUAGAACAAUAUAUCAUAACACAUAGUACUGUCUAUUACAGUCAGCACAUAGUCUAAUCACGUCAUCACAUAAUCGCAGUGAUCAUACUUUUAGUUCAUAUUCUAUACUUGAAAUAUUUUUAUACAUUUUUCAAAUAUCUCAUCCAUGCUCUUACAGAAGUCUUUUCUUUCUAUUAUAGGGUCUGACAUUUGUCGGCGUACCGACAGCUUUAUCGGGUAAAUACUGAGUCUAAGACUCUUAUCCUAUACCUCAACAUCUGUAAAUAUCAAACAUUUUAUUUUUAAUCAUUUUCGAAUUUUCCAGAAAUUGAAAAAUUUAAAAUAAUUCAAAUCUGUCACUACCGGGCCUAUAGUGAUAUAACUGUUACUAUAGGUGUUCCUCAAAACUUCAUAACUUCAUAAUCGGUUCUCAAGUCAGCUAGUUUGGCCGGCUAUAACUUUCAAACAUCGGAAUCAUAAUUAAAUGAUUUAAACAUUAAACAAUUCCAUUAUCAUUAAUAAUUAAUUUAUAUUAAACUAUUAAUGAAACCAUUGCCAAAAUAUAAAAGUUAUUUAUAAUAACUCAAACUAUUUUUAAAACAUUUAUAUUACCCUUAAAUGAUUUUUAAAACAAUUAAAAUCAUUUUUAAAUAAUCACCAUUAAUAUAUAAAUAUUAAUGUACUAUUCAUCCAAAUAUUAAAAGUCAUUAAUUAUAACUUAAAAUAUUUUUAAAUCCUUAAUAUCCUCUUUAAAUGAUUUUUAAAUAAAUAAAACCAUUUUUAAACUAUUUAUUUAAUAAUAAUUAUUAAAUAAACUAAAUAUCAUUAAUAUUAUCUUAAUAUCAUUAAUAUUAAAUUAUUAAUGAAAUUAUCCUUUAAAUAUUAAAAGUUAUAUUUUAUAACUUAAAAUAUUUUUAAAUACCUUAAUUUCAUUUAAAAUGAUUUUUAUAAUAUUAAAAUCAUUUUUAAACUAAAUUAUUUAAUAUAAUCAUUAAAUAACUUUAAUAUCAUUAAUAUAUAAUUAAUUAAUGAAAUUCAUCACAAAAUAUUAAAAGUCAUGGAAAAUAACUUAAAAUAUUUUCUUAUACCAUAAAAUAAUUUUUCAUGAUUUUUCAUGAAUUAAAACUAUUUUUAAAUCAUUUAUUUAAUAUUAUAAUUAAAUAAAUAAAUACCUUUUAUAUUCCAAAAAUAUUAAAUAUUUAUGAAAUAUACUCAAAAUAAUUAAAUAUUAUUUUUCAGACUUUAAAAUAAUUUUUCAGAAUUUAAAAUCUAAUUUUUCUAAUUUUUAAAUCAUUUUCGGAAUUUCCAGAAAUUGAAAAAUUUAAAAUAAUUCAAAUCUGUCGCCAAAGGGGCCUAUAGUGACAGAACCGUCGCUAUAGGUGUUCUUCAUCUCAAGAACACUGUCAGAGCAGCGUGUGAGGGGACUACUUUGACCGUGAAUAACUUUGUGCUCUUAACGAAUCUGGGACAUCUAUGACUUGGAUCUUGUAGAGGAAAAUACCGGAAUACAAUAACCAACAAUCAUUACUUCUAAAAAACAUCAGAUCUGGGAGAAAUUAGCCAUCAAAAUAGCUGUCAGAGCUGUUCUUCGUGAAGAACAGUUCGGGAUGCCUACUUUGGGCCUCUAUAACUUGACGAUCGUGUAACGUUUAUGUGAUCUAUCAACUCCAGUGUGUAGACAACAUAUAGGACUACAACUUUAACACUUAACAUCAUCAUAACAACAAGAAAUCAAGCAGCUAAAGUAUGGUCAAACCUUGUCAGAAAAAUCAACACUUGGAAAAUUCUGGGCUGCCCAGAAUUUUCCGGUCAAUGCCGGUUAACCCACUUUGACCUUAAAUAAAUCUUAAUCCAUAAUAUAUAUGGACCUGAUUCUUUUUGGAGGUUAAAUACCACAUAACACGCUACACAUAACAACCUUUAGAACACAAAACACAUUAAAGAUAACCGAGAUAUAAGGCCUGACAUUUGCCAAAAAAAUAUUUUCUGGACACUUAGAAUAUUUUCUGGGUUUGAAGAACAGCCGGUCAAUGCCGGUCAACCCAUUUUGACCGCUUAUAAAUCCUGAUCUACAAUAUCUAUGAACUUGAUUCGUUUUUCAUAUUAAAGACCACAUAUCAGGCUACAUAUAACAACUUUUAAACAACAAAACUCAUGAUCAAGAAAAGAUAUAUAAUCUCUGACAUUUGACAAAAAAUCACAGAAAUGAAAAUUUCCAGAUUUCUCAAAUCUUCAAAUUCGUGUACUUUGAUGUUAUGAGUCUGUGUUUUUACAACCCAGAACAUUAAUAGACUCCCUAUUAAACAACUUUAAACAAUCAAUUGUAUCAAUUAACAUCGAGUCGAAGGAUUUCUAAUUUUUGGGAUUUCAUACCUUUUCUUACUUUGAUUUCUUGAUUUCUGACUUUGAUGCUUCUGAUUUGUUGUUUGUG